rnacentral:rRNA from 1 species
UACAGAGGGUGCAAGCGUUAAUCGGAAUUACUGGGCGUAAAGCGUGCGUAGACGGUUAUGUAAGUCGGGUGUGAAAGCCCCGGGCUCAACCUGGGAAUGCCAUUCGAGACUGCAUAGCUAGGGUGCGGAAGAGGGAAGCGGAAUUUCAGGUGUAGCGGUGAAAUGCGUAGAUAUCUGAAGGAACACCAGUGGCGAAAGCGGCUUCCUGGUC